rnacentral:rRNA from 1 species
AUUGAACGCUGGCGGAAUGCUUUACACAUGCAAGUCGAACGGCAGCACGGACUUCGGUCUGGUGGCGAGUGGCGAACGGGUGAGUAAUACAUCGGAACGUGCCCAGUCGUGGGGGAUAACGUAGCGAAAGCUACGCUAAUACCGCAUACGAUCUAAGGAUGAAAGCGGGGGAUCGCAAGACCUCGCGCGAUUGGAGCGGCCGAUGGCAGAUUAGGUAGUUGGUAGGGUAAAGGCCUACCAAGCCGACGAUUUGUAGCUGGUCUGAGAGGAUGAUCAGCCACACUGGGACUGAGACACGGCCCAGACUCCUACGGGAGGCAGCAGUGGGGAAUUUUGGACAAUGGGCGCAAGCCUGAUCCAGCCAUUCCGCGUGCAGGAUGAAGGCCUUCGGGUUGUAAACUGCUUUUGUACAGAACGAAAAGGCUCUGGUUAAUACCCGGGGCUCAUGACGGUACUGUAAGGAUAAGCACCGGCUAACUACGUGCCAGCCGCCGCCGUAA